ACUCUUUUCUCUUUUUUGUUUUUGUUUUUGAAUAAUCUGUCUCUCUUUGAUUUGAACCUCCCUGAUGGGGUACGCCACCACCGCCAUUGCCACCACCAUCGCGCGCUCUCUCUCUCUAUCUUUCUUACCGUUUCUCUCACCGGCGUCGAACUCAUUCCUUCAACUGAUCUCAAUCUAUCUCCUCCACCACCUUCACACCUACCAUAUCACCACCACUGUCUUCACCAUCUACCAUUCUUGGAGACAUAAUAUCAACGUUGCUCUGGAUCUAUCAUUUCUCUCACCGAUGCCAAACUCAAUCCCUCAUAAUCGUUCUCAGUCGAUCUCUCCCACUGCCUUCACAUCCACUGCACCACCAAUCUCCCUCUCCCAUUGAACUCAUCCGUUCUUGGAGACAUAAUGCUCCGAUUUGAGAUCUGAAACAAAUAGUUUUUUCUUCGCCUGGUGUUUUGGUUUGAGAUCUAGUCAAUAAUGUCGAGUUGAGGUUUGAGGAGAAUCCAGGUUUGCUUCAGUCCUUUUGUUUUCUAGGAUUUGCUGAGAACGUACUGAUCUUCGGACACUAUAUAUUACAUUGUAUAUAUAUACAUUUGAUCUGUUUAAUUUUUUUUUUUUGGGUUCUUUGGA